rnacentral:rRNA from 1 species
AGAGUUUGAUCAUGGCUCAGGACGAACGCUGGCGGCGUGCUUAACACAUGCAAGUCGAGCGGGGUUUAUCGGAUUAGCUUGCUAAACUGAUAAACCUAGCGGCGGACGGGUGAGUAACGCGUGAGCAAUCUGCCUCAUACAGGGGGAUAACAGGUGGAAACACCUGCUAAUACCGCAUAAGACUCCACUACCGCAUGGUAGAGAAGUCAAAGGGCUUACCGGUAUGAGAUGAGCUCGCGUCCCAUUAGCUAGUUGGUAGGGUAAAGGCCUACCAAGGCGACGAUGGGUAGCCGACCUGAGAGGGUGAUCGGCCACACUGGGACUGAGACACGGCCCAGACUCCUACGGGAGGCAGCAGUGGGGAAUAUUGCACAAUGGAGGGAACUCUGAUGCAGCAACGCCGCGUGAGUGAAGAAGGUUUUCGGAUCGUAAAACUCUGUCAUUGGGGAAGAAUAAAUGACGGUACCCAAUGAGGAAGCCCCGGCUAACUACGUGCCAGCAGCCGCGGUAAU